GGAUGAACGCUAGCGACAGGCCUAACACAAUGCAAGUCGAGGGGCAGCAAUGGUAUCAGCUUGCUGAUACCGAUGGCGACCGGCGCACGGGUGAGUAACGCGUAUGUAAUCUGCCUGUAACAGAGGGGAUAACCCGGAGAAAUCCGGCCUAAUACCUCAUAGCACAUAUUAUUCGCAUGAGUUUUAUGUUAAAGAGACUCGGUUACAGAUGAACAUGCGUUCCAUUAGCUGGUUGGCGGGGUAACGGCCCACCAAGGCAACGAUGGAUAGGGGUUCUGAGAGGAAGGUCCCCCACACUGGUACUGAGACACGGACCAGACUCCUACGGGAGGCAGCAGUGAGGAAUAUUGGUCAAUGGGGCGAGAGCCUGAACCAGCCAAGUCGCGUGGAGGAAGACGGCCCUACGGGUUGUAAAACUCCUUUUUAACCUGGGGAAAUAACGGGCGCUACGCGUAGCGCUGUG
rnacentral:rRNA from 1 species